UCUUAUUGGCCUUCCGAUUUUUCAUUCAUUUGGAUAGAUACAGUGUUCUGUUUUUUUUUUUUUUAAAUGAAAUUAACCUGCAUCUUCUUGUGUGCUUCAAAGGUAUUGCUAACCACACCCACUACUCCUAAUGAUCGAAUGAAAGCCAUUGUUCAAGCUGCUGAAGGAUUUGUCUAUCUGGAUUAAUUGUUGAUUGCAAUUUGAGCAAGAGCUUGGUUUUGCAGGAUUUUCUAUAACGAAAGACUUUGGAUUUUGAUUGAUUUAUUGAGUGUCCUAUAGAAUGUCGAUCGACAAGACUUGGAUUAAUAAUUCAAAUAAAUUUUCUGAUGAGUAUGUUGCUGGAGCGUUUGCAUUUGUUGAGAGAGCUCAACAAUUUGUGGAUACAAGGGGACUAGUGAAGUGU